rnacentral:rRNA from 1 species
AUUCCAGCUCCAAUAGCGUAUAUUAAAGUUGUUGCGGUUAAAAAGCUCGUAGUUGGAUUUCUGCUAGGGACGAUCGGUCCACCCACUGGGUGUGUAUCUGUGUCGGCCUUGGCAUCUUCCUGGCGAACGCAACUGCACUUGACUGUGUGGUGCGGUAUCCAGGACUUUUACUUUGAGGAAAUUAGAGUGUUUCAAGCAGGCGCACGCCUUGAAUACAUUAGCAUGGAAUAAUAAGAUAGGACUUUGGUGGUUCUUUUUGAUAUUUUGUUGGUUUGCACGCCAGAGUAAUGAUUAAUAGGAGCAGUUGGGGGUAUUCGUAUUCAAUUGUCAGAGGUGAAAUUCUUGGAUUUAUAGAAGACGAACUACUGCGAAAGCAUUUACCAAGGAUGUUUUCAUCA